AGUCCAUUAGGGUAGUGGCCAAUCCUGAAGCCUUCUGGGGGCUUCGACGCUGGUUCGAAUCCAGCAUGGACUA
rnacentral:tRNA from 5 species